AGACCAUCCUGGCUAACAUGGUGAAACCCCAUCUCUACUGAAAAAUACAAAAAAUUAGCCGGGCGUGGUGAAGCUGAGUGGCUUGGGACAACAGAAAUUGAUUUUCAAAUAGCUCUAGAGGCCAGAAAUCCUCAAUCCAGGUGUGGGCAGGGCCGCCCUCCCUCGGGGGACCUAGGGGAGGGUCCCUCCUAGCCUCUUGCAACUCUGGUGGCUCCACCAUUCCUCAGUUUGUGGCCACAUCCUCCAGUCUCUGCCUCUGUCUUUUCCUAGCUCUCUCCUCUCUUCUGUGUGUGGGCCUUCUCUUCUGCCUCUUACAAAGACAUUUAUCAUUUAGGAUUUAGAACUUCUUUUGAAAAAAGGAGGUCAGCUAUGGGGCUUAGGAUAUGGACAUAUCCCUUUAGGGGUCACCAUUCAGCCCCCACAGCCAUCACAGUCUUCGUCCUCUGGCCUCUGGGAGCUGAAGUGAGUUCCCAGGUUGGCUGAAGCUGGGCCCUGUCCUGUGUGUCCUGUGAAUGGCUCUGCUGUAAGAGGGGCCAACCUGACACCUGCACAGGUGAACACCUGCACUGUUCACCUUCUCCAUUCCUUUCCUCUGAGAACCUUAGAACCGUAGAUGACUGGAAACUGUCCAGACUUUUACGGCACAAGCAAAUACCCCACGUUCUCAUUCCAGACUCAGUCCCUGCAUUGCGAAUGUUCCCACAGAUGACGGUCGCCCUCCACCUGCCUUUCCUCAAGAGUUAC
rnacentral:lncRNA from 1 species